UAUCUAGGAUGAUAUUUAUGUUAUCGCUAUUAAUGCAAUUUUGAGAAAAAGGUAUCAGUUUUAUAAAAAAUAUAUGGUGUGCUCAGGGCGGUGACACCAGUCUCUUAGGCAAAUAAUUUUCUCAAAAUUUCAUGAGUAUUUUUUUAACGGUUUUUUAUAGGAUUUUAUUUUUAUUUACAGAUAAAUUUUAUAACAAGCUUAUAAAUCUCAACUCCAAUGACCUGUAUGAUUAUUUGGAAGAAAUUCCUUGUGACAACAUUAGCAAGUUAGGAGAUGUUAGUGAAGAUGAGAUUAAAGGGGACGCAGAAAUAGUAGGCCCAACGGCAGCGGCGUCGCCAGCAAUUGAUUUGUAUGACAUAGAAAAUAUGCCUAUUAUAUUUGGGAAUGAUACUUUGUCCCAAGACACUGAUGCUGCCUUAGCCGAAUGGAGCAGUGAGGCUGAGCUAUUUUUGUCACUCAUACGAGCCCAGGAAAAUCGCAAAAAAACUAUAUGGACUAACUCCCACUCACACUGUGUUCGAAAUUUUAAAGAAUUUGGAGAAGAAAUAGGACCAAACAUUCCCACCGAUAUAGAAACUCCUACCGACAUGUUUUUGCAUAUAUUCCCUGAGCAUUUGUUAGACCACAUAGCUUUUCAAACUAACUUAUAUGCCUUGCAAAGAAACGGAGGUAAUAGUCAUGCAUUUACGCCUGCUAAUGUAAAGGAAAUAAAGGGUUUUAUUGCAAUAAAUUUGUUAAUGGGCAUAAAAAAGCUACCCAGCUACAAGGAUUACUGGUCCUCACGAUUGGAAAUGAGAGAUCCAUUCAUAAGUUCAAUAAUGUCAAGAGACAGGUUUUCAUGGAUGUUAGUCAACCUGCACCUAAACGACAACUCUGUACAGCCUGGCCGUGAUCACCAAAACUUUGAUAAGCUUUACAAAUUACCGCCUUUGUUAGAAGUAUUAUCUGAUACAUAUAAAAAUGCUUUGAACCAAGUCAACAUCAAGCUAUUGACGAGUCGAUGAUCCGAUUCAAAGGACGAAGCUCCCUAAAACAGUAUAUGCCAAAGAAACCAGUAAAACGUGGCUAUAAAGUUUGGAUUCGUUCCAUUCCAUGAAAAUUCAGGAUACGUAUGUCAACUUCAGAUUUACACUGGUAAUAUAGGUCAAAUGACCGAAAAGUCUCUUGGUGGUAGAGUUGUUAGAGACCUUACGAGAGACUUAGUUGGAACAGGGUACGAAAUAUAUUUUGACAAUUAUUUUAAUUCGGUCGAGCUGCAAAAACAACUGCAAACUGAGUUGAUUUACGCUUGCGGUACCGUCAGAAAAGAUCGAAAGAAUCUACCAACAGAUCUACUAGAUGACAAGCAGUUAACAAGGGGUGAAUUCGAUUGGAGAGUUAGCACUGAUGGGUUGACAUUUUUGAAAUGGAUGGAUAAUAGGCCAGUCCAUUUUUUAACUAAUUAUCUGGAUCCAUGCAAAAAUCAGUGGGUUUCCCGCAAAAAAAAGAUGGUUCCGCCGAAGAUGUUACUUGUCCUGAACUAGUAAAGAAAUAUAAUACGCAUAUGGGAUACGUGGAUAAGACGGGCAUGCUAAAAACUCUUUAUGAGGUUGACCGAAAGUCGAAAAAGUGGUGGCAUAGAAUUUUUUUCUAUUUCAUAGAUUUAUCCUUAGUAAAUGCAUUCAUAUUGUAUCAAAAAAGAAUGGAUUCCAAUGCGCAACUUUCGCUAAAACUUUUUCGACUUUCAGUGGGCCUAGGACUUGUGGGAGCUGAACAAGGUUUACCGAAAAGGGGUCGGCCAUCAGCAACGUACUGUACCAUACGAAAUUCGGUACGACUCUUGUACCUGCCUCUGGCAUGUGGGAACCUGGAAGAUGUGCUUUUUGUACAAGGUGUGAUGUUGCCAUGUGCCUUUUAGAAAAGAAAAACUGUUUCCCUCAAUAUCAUACCAAAUAAAUUUUUUAUAAUCAAUAUAUUUUUCUAUAUAGCAAUAAAAAGUUAGUUUUUGCCAA